AGUGAACGCUGGCGGUAGGCCUAACACAUGCAAGUCGAACGGCAGCACAGUAAGAGCUUGCUCUUACGGGUGGCGAGUGGCGGACGGGUGAGGAAUACAUCGGAAUCUACUUUUUCGUGGGGGAUAACGUAGGGAAACUUACGCUAAUACCGCAUACGACCUACGGGUGAAAGCAGGGGAUCUUCGGACCUUGCGCGAUUGAAUGAGCCGAUGUCGGAUUAGCUAGUUGGCGGGGUAAAGGCCCACCAAGGCGACGAUCCGUAGCUGGUCUGAGAGGAUGAUCAGCCACACUGGAACUGAGACACGGUCCAGACUCCUACGGGAGGCAGCAGUGGGGAAUAUUGGACAAUGGGCGCAAGACUGAUCCAGCCAUACCGCGUGGGUGAAGAAGGCCUUCGGGUUGUAAAGCCCUUUUGUUGGGAAAGAAAAGCAGCAGGUUAAUACCCCGCUGUUCUGACGGUACCCAAAGAAUAAGCACCGGCUAACUUCGU
rnacentral:rRNA from 1 species